GCUGUCUAGGGAUGGGAGCUGAGUUUGUAAUGCUCCUGAUUUACUAGAAACAAGGGCUAUAUGGAGAAGCUGGAAGGAUCAUGUACUCAUGAUACAGCUUGGAAAACAGUGGACACUCAGAAGUGUAAGAAUUAAAGGUUAGUUCUCAGGUUGCUUAUAGCCUGGGAGGAGCUUCUGCUGAGUGCGGGGAGAGGCAAAAAGGUAGGAUGGCAGAAACUGCUUCCAGCUGGUGUUUGUUUAACAAAGCUUUAGAGGUGAAGGCAGAAGGAAGCCUGGGAGAUGUUUGGGUUUUGUUCAUGCUGGAGAACUGAAGAUUACCGUGUUUAUAUCAUUUGACUAAAAUUAACAUUGACGUUACCAUACGGGCUGGCCCCUUUCCUGCCCCAUCUGUUCUCUCUGGAAGUGUGCCCUUGGCAGUUGGACCUGCUGCAUUAAGUGGGCCUGAGGAGGCAGCCCUGCCCAGGUCGUGCUGGGAUAGCUUCUCCCCCACCAGUCUCUCUUGCUUGCAUGAAGAGGAAGCCUGUAUUGCCUGUAAAGACCAGCUUCAACCACAUACCAAAGGAGAAGUGGAGUUUAUGCUGAGGCCAGCUGCUGGCCGGGAUACCCGUGCUUGAGAGAGAUCUGCAAGAGUUUCUGGAGGGUCCUGAUAACAUGUGAGAGAAUGGUGGCUGACGUUUAAAUGCAGGUUGAACUAAACUGCAGUCUGCUUCAUAGAUGAAGGUCAACCAGCCAUGCCUUAGUCAACUGUGCCUCAUUGAGUUGCUCUGCCUUAUACAGCUGGACUGACCGAGUUUUCUUGAUGCCUGUAACUCACUUCUUCUUCUGCAUAAUUUUGACGUGCAGGAAUCAAGAAGCUAAAGGUCACUGCACAGAAUCUGUCCAUCACACAGACCUUGCCUCAGGAAUGCAGCCACUGGAUCCAUCCUUUGGUGAGCAAUGUAAGCUUGGUCAUUCUGAAUGUCUGUUCUCUCAUCUUGAUGUUUUCCUUUGACAUUAAAGAGCCAAUUGCUGGUAUUUUGCUGGAUUUAGUUUGGAUAGAAUGGAAGCAGUCAGAUUUCAUCCUUUUAUAUAAUUCUAGCCUAGCCCUGGAGACAGCUGUGAAUCCACAGAGGUCUGACUUCUAUUCAUAACUGGUUUCAGUCCUGUGUUGCUUAUUGUGUGUGUCUGAGAUCAGUAAAAAUUAAACAUCGAUUAAAAGUUUUCUGAUGGCAGUAACUGAAAAGGCAAUGGGAUACUCAGAAAUUAUUUUCUACUCCACAGUUUUUUUCAUAAGCUUUUUUCUUAGUAUCUGUUUGCCAUGGGAUCUAUAGCUGCCUGUCUUAUAA
rnacentral:lncRNA from 1 species